AAUGGGGGAAACCCUGACCCAGCAACGCCGCGUGAGUGAUGAAGGCCUUCGGGUCGUAAAGCUCUGUCCUUGGGGACGAAGAAUGACGGUACCCAAGAAGAAAGCCACGGCUAACUACGUGCCAGCAGCCGCGGUAAUACGUAGGUGGCAAGCGUUGUCCGGAAUUACUGGGCGUAAAGGGCGAGUAGGCGGUAAUACAAGUCAGAUGUGAAAGGCGAGGGCUCAACCCUCGGAUUGCAUUUGAAACUGUAUGACUUGAGUGCGGUAGAGGAAAGUGGAAUUCCCAGUGUAGCGGUGAAAUGCGUAGAUAUUGGGAGGAACACCAGUGGCGAAGGCGACUUUCUGGGCCGUAACUGACGCUGAGGCGCGAAAGCGUGGGGAGCGAA
rnacentral:rRNA from 1 species